rnacentral:rRNA from 1 species
GUGGGGAAUAUUGCACAAUGGGGGAAACCCUGAUGCAGCAACGCCGCGUGAGUGAUGAAGGCCUUCGGGUUGUAAAGCUCUGUCUUUGGGGACGAUAAUGACGGUACCCAAGGAGGAAGCCACGGCUAACUACGUGCCAGCAGCCGCGGUAAUACGUAGGUGGCAAGCGUUGUCCGGAUUUACUGGGCGUAAAGGGAGCGUAGGUGGAUAUUUAAGUGGGAUGUGAAAUCCCCGGGCUUAACCUGGGGGCUGCAUUCCAAACUGGAUGUCUAGAGUGCAGGAGAGGAGAGUGGAAUUCCUAGUGUAGCGGUGAAAUGCGUAGAGAUUAGGAAGAACACCAGUGGCGAAGGCGACUCUCUGGACUGUAACUGACACUGAGGCUCGAAAGCGUGGGGAGCAAACAGGAUUAGAAACCCGGGUAGUCC